CGGCAGCGCGGACUUCGGUCUGGCGGCGAGUGGCGAACGGGUGAGUAAUGUAUCGGAACGUGCCUAGUAGCGGGGGAUAACUACUCGAAAGAGUAGCUAAUACCGCAUACGCCCUACGGGGGAAAGGGGGGGAUCGCAAGACCUCUCACUAUUAGAGCGGCCGAUAUCGGAUUAGCUAGUUGGUGAGGUAAAGGCUCACCAAGGCGACGAUCCGUAGCUGGUUUGAGAGGACGACCAGCCACACUGGGACUGAGACACGGCCCAGACUCCUACGGGAGGCAGCAGUGGGGAAUUUUGGACAAUGGGGGAAACCCUGAUCCAGCCAUUCCGCGUGUGCGAUGAAGGCCUUCGGGUUGUAAAGCACUUUUGGCAGGAAAGAAAUCGCACCAAUUAAUACUUGGUGUGGAUGACGGUACCUGCAGAAUAAGCACCGGCUAACUACGUGCCAGCAGCCGCGGUAAUACGUAGGGUGCAAGCGUUAAUCGGAAUUACUGGGCGUAAAGCGUGCGCAGGCGGUUCGGAAAGAGAGGUGUGAAAUCCCAGGGCUCAACCUUGGAACUGCACUUUUAACUACCGAGCUAGAGUAUGUCAGAGGGGGGUGGAAUUCCGCGUGUAGCAGUGAAAUGCGUAGAUAUGCGGAGGAACACCGAUGGCGAAGGCAGCCCCCUGGGAUAAUACUGACGCUCAUGCACGAAAGCGU
rnacentral:rRNA from 1 species